CCCUGGGUGGUGCAGCAGUUAACACACUUGGCUGCUAACCAAAGGUUGGUGGUUCGAGUCCAUCCAGAGGCA
rnacentral:tRNA from 1 species